AGUCGAGGGGUAGAAGUUGCUUGCAACUUUGAGACCGGCGCACGGGUGCGUAACGCGUAUGCAAUCUACCUUGUACGGGGGGAUAGCCCAGAGAAAUUUGGAUUAAUACCCCAUAGUAUUAUUGAAUGGCAUCAUUUAAUUAUUAAAGUUCCAACGGUACAAGAUGAGCAUGCGUCCUAUUAGCUAGUUGGUGUGGUAACGGCACACCAAGGCUACGAUAGGUAGGGGUCCUGAGAGGGAGAUCCCCCACACUGGUACUGAGACACGGACCAGACUCCUACGGGAGGCAGCAGUGAGGAAUAUUGGACAAUGGGCGCAAGCCUGAUCCAGCCAUGCCGCGUGCAGGAAGAAGCAUCUAUGGUGUGUAAACUGCUUUUGUACGGGAAGAAACACUGCUACGUGUAGCAGCUUGACGGUACCGUAAGAAUAAGGAUCGGCUAACUCCGUGCCAGCAGCCGCGGUAAUACGGAGGAUCCAAGCGUUAUCCGGAAUCAUUGGGUUUAAAGGGUCCGUAGGCGGUCUAAUAAGUCAGUGGUGAAAGCCCAUCGCUCAACGAUGGAACGGCCAUUGAUACUGUUAGACUUGAAUUAUUGGGAAGUAACUAGAAUAUGUAGUGUAGC
rnacentral:rRNA from 1 species